rnacentral:rRNA from 1 species
CACGUAGGGGGCAAGCGUUGUCCGGAUUUAUUGGGCGUAAAGAGCUCGUAGGUGGUUCGGUAAGUCAGGUGUGAAACCUCCAGGCUCAACCUGGAGACGCCACUUGAUACUGCUGUGACUGGAGUCCGGUAGGGGAACGUGGAAUUCCUGGUGUAGCGGUGAAAUGCGCAGAUAUCAGGAGGAACACCAGCGGCGAAGGCGGCGCUCUGGGCCGGUACUGACACUGAGGAGCGAAAGCGUGGGUAGCAAACAGG